GAUGAAGAACGCAGCGAAAUGCGAUAAGUAAUGUGAAUUGCAGAAUUCAGUGAAUCAUCGAAUCUUUGAACGCACAUUGCGCCCCCUGGUAUUCCGGGGGGCAUGCCUGUCCGAGCGUCAUUGCUGCCCUCAAGCACGGCUUGUGUGUUGGGCCCCCGCCCCCCGGUCCCGGGGGGCGGGCCCGAAAGGCAGCGGCGGCACCGCGUCCGGUCCUCGAGCGUAUGGGGCUUUGUCACCCGCUCUGUAGGCCCGGCCGGCGCCCGCCGGCGACCCCAAUCAAUCUUUUUCAGGUUGACCUCGGAUCAGGUAGGGAUACCCGCUGAACUUAAGCAUAUCAAUAAGCGGAGGA
rnacentral:misc_RNA from 1 species